ACGCUGACAGAAUGCUUAACACAUGCAAGUCUUUGGCGAAACUGUGCUUGCACAGCCUAGCCAAGGCGGACGGGCGAGUAACGCGUAAGGAACUUGCCCUGCAGUCAGGGAUAACAGACGGAAACGACUGAUAAGACCUGGUAAAGUCAGGCGGACUCAUGUCCAGCCUGAUGAAAAGAGAUGCUGCAGGAGAGCCUUGCGUCCUAUCAGCUUGUUGGUGGGGUAACGGCCCACCAAGGCGAUGAUAGGUAGCCGGCCUGAGAGGGUGGACGGCCACAAGGGGACUGAGAUACGGCCCUUACUCCUACGGGAGGCAGCAGUGGGGAAUAUUGGACAAUGGGGGCAACCCUGAUCCAGCAAUUCUAUGUGCACGAUGAAGGUUUUCGGAUUGUAAAGUGCUUUCAGCAGGGAAGAAAAAAAUGACGGUACCUGCAGAAGAAGCGACGGCUAAAUACGUGCCAGCAGCCGCGGUAAUACGUAUGUCGCAAGCGUUAUCCGGAAUUAUUGGGCAUAAAGGGCAUCUAGGCGGCCAGAUAAGUCUGGGGUGAAAACUUGCGGCUCAACCGCAAGCCUGCCCUGGAAACUAUGUGGCUAGAGUACUGGAGAGGUGGACGGAACUGCACGAGUAGAGGUGAAAUUCGUAGAUAUGUGCAGGAAUGCCGAUGAUGAAGAUAGUUCACUGGACGGUAACUGACGCUGAAGUGCGAAAGCUAGGGGAGCAAACAGGAUUAGAUACCCUGGUAGUCCUAGCUGUAAACGAUGAUUACUGGGUGUGGGCAUGAAGAGUGUCCGUGCCGAAGCUAAUGCGAUAAGUAAUCCGCCUGGGGAGUACGGCCGCAAGGCUGAAACUCAAAGGAAUUGACGGGGACCCGCACAAGCGGUGGAGCAUGUGGUUUAAUUCGACGC
rnacentral:rRNA from 1 species